rnacentral:ncRNA from 1 species
AUCAGGUGUCGCAAGACUUAAUAGGGAAUCCGGUAUAUGCCGGAGCGGUCCCGCCACUGUAGCAGCGAGCCGGUCUGCAAGAGGAAUCUUCGUAUUUCUUGAGAUGUCACUGGGGAAUCCAUCCCUGGGAAGGCGCAGACAGGCGAUGAACUGAAGCCGGGAGAACUGCCUGAUU